GAAUUUAAAAUCACUGCCUCUCGUUCCCACUCAAACUUAGCUAAGCUACCAAAAGCACAACACAAACAAGAGAACAAUAGUUAGAGGCUGUUGAAGAGAUACAUACAUAGUGUUAGUGUUAUUUAUGUUAUGGUGUCCCUCAACCCAAACCCACCUCAAACUUUUCACUUCUUCGACCCCUUCCACAUGGAGGAUCAGAGUAAGAAGGUUCGAAAACCUUACACCAUUACCAAGUCCAGAGAGAAUUGGACUGACCAAGAGCAUGACAAGUUUCUUGAAGCUCUUCACUUAUUCGAACGUGACUGGAAGAAGAUUGAAGCAUUUGUAGGUUCAAAAACAGUUAUUAGAUAAGGAGUCAUGCACAGAAAUAUUUCAUGAAAAUUCAGAAGAAUGGCACAAGUGAACAUGUACCUCCCCCUCGUCCAAAGAGAAAAGCUGCUCAUCCAUACCCACAAAAGGCUUCUAAAAAUUCUCCUACUAUAUCCCAAGUUGCACGGCCAUUCCAAUCUUCAUCUGCUUUAUCUGAAUCAUCAAACAUUUAUAGGCCAGAUUCAUCAUCUGUGCUUAGAACUCCAGUUAGCAGUGUACCAUUACCAUCUUGGGGUUAUAAUGUUGCACCACCGAUCGGUCUUCCUAGAUGAUAUGGUGGUAGUGAUUCAACAAGCCAAUCCUUUCAGUUACUGCUAUAGCAGUAGUAAUGAGAGCACUCCUAGGGGUUGGCCAAGUAGCAAAGAGAGUGAUCAAGGAAAGUCAAUUAUAGUAAUGCCAGAUUUUGCACAAGUCUAUAGAUUCAUUGGAAGUGUAUUUGAUCCAAAUGCGACUAAUCAUCUACAGACACUGAAACAGAUGAACCCAAUAAAUGUGAAAACUGUAUUGCUAUCGAUGAGAAACCUCUCCACCAAUUUGAGGAGUCCUGAAUUUGAGAAUGAGCUGCCACUUUGCACUUUCCUCAGCAUAUAAUGGAUAUUAUUCCGUUAAGAGAACAAUUCCUUGGCACAUGCAUAUGGAAAAGUAAGGAAAAGAGAAGGUUGCUGUCGUUGUACAAUGCUAACUUGGAGAAGGGAAAAUCUGGUAGUCAUCAUCGCAACCAACCCCUCAGUGACAGAUCAGAGAGUGCUGUCUUAUAUGCUUAAGGUGUUACCAAUGGUUUCUCAAGAACAUAGAUUUUAAAUAUCUUCCAAAAACACAAUAAGCUUUCCUCUCAGCAACCACUAACUCCAAAUGGUGAAAUAUGGGGCACAAGAGGGGUAGGAUUACAGAUUUUACAAACAGUUUGUAGGGUGCAGAUGUUUACGUGUAUGUAAUUUACUGUCAUUUAGGCUUAUGUGUGUAUCUUAUAAAGAUGGUUGUCAUAGAAAUGCAGGAUAAUGAGUCCAGAGUCCUGUUAAGUAUCCUGGAGGCUGUACUGUGCAGAAUAUUGAGAGCUUCUGUCUGUAAUGCUGUGAUCCUUUUUUUCUACAAUUUAGUAUACAUGAGCGGUGCUUCCAGUGUUGUAUAUAUAAACCAAAACCAAUAAAGAGCAUAUAUAAAUUGUGCUAAUUUCAUGCA